rnacentral:rRNA from 1 species
GACGAACGCUGGCGGCGUGCUUAACACAUGCAAGUCGAGCGGUAAGGCCCUUUCGGGGUACGACGAGCGGCGAACGGGUGAGUAACACGUGGGUGACCUGCCUCAGCUCUGGGAUAAGCCUGGGAAACCGGGUCUAAUACUGGAUAUGACUCCAUGACGCAUGUUGUGGGGUGGAAAGCCUUGUGCGGCUGAGGAUGGGCCCGC